UACGUAGGGCGCAAGCGUUAUCCGGAAUUAUUGGGCGUAAAGAGCUCGUAGGCGGUUUGUCGCGUCUGCUGUGAAAAUCCGGGGCUCAACCCCGGACUUGCAGUGGGUACGGGCAGACUAGAGUGUGGUAGGGGAGACUGGAAUUCCUGGUGUAGCGGUGGAAUGCGCAGAUAUCAGGAGGAACACCGAUGGCGAAGGCAGGUCUCUGGGCCACUACUGACGCUGAGAAGCGAAAGCAUGGGGAGCGAACAGG
rnacentral:rRNA from 1 species